UGCUGGAGGUAUCAGAAGUGCGAAUGCUGACAUAAGUAACGAUAAAGCGGGUGAAAAGCCCGCUCGCCGGAAGACCAAGGGUUCCUGUCCAACGUUAAUCGGGGCAGGGUGAGUCGACCCCUAAGGCGAGGCCGAAAGGCGUAGUCGAUGGGAAACAGGUUAAUAUUCCUGUACUUGGUGUUACUGCGAAGGGGGGACGGAGAAGGCUAUGUUAGCCGGGCGACGGUUGUCCCGGUUUAAGCAUGUAGGCUGAUUGUCCAGGCAAAUCCGGAUAAUCAAGGCUGAGGUGUGAUGACGAGGCACUACGGUGCUGAAGUAACAAAUGCCCUGCUUCCAGGAAAAGCCUCUAAGCAUCAGGUAACAUCAAAUCGUACCCCAAACCGACACAGGUGGUCAGGUAGAGAAUACCAAGGCGCUUGAGAGAACUCGGGUGAAGGAACUAGGCAAAAUGGUGCCGUAACUUCGGGAGAAGGCACGCUGGUGUGUAGGUGAAGCCCCUGCGGGUGGAGCUGAGACCAGUCGAAGAUACCAGCUGGCUGCAACUGUUUAUUAAAAACACAGCACUGUGCAAACACGAAAGUGGACGUAUACGGUGUGACGCCUGCCCGGUGCCGGAAGGUUAAUUGAUGGGGUUAUCCGUAAGGAGAAGCUCUUGAUCGAAGCCCCGGUAAACGGCGGCCGUAACUAUAACGGUCCUAAGGUAGCGAAAUUCCUUGUCGGGUAAGUUCCGACCUGCACGAAUGGCGUAAUGAUGGCCAGGCUGUCUCCACCCGAGACUCAGUGAAAUUGAACUCGCUGUGAAGAUGCAGUGUACCCGCGGCAAGACGGAAAGACCCCGUGAACCUUUACUAUAGCUUGACACUGAACAUUGAGCCUUGAUGUGUAGGAUAGGUGGGAGGCUUUGAAGCGUGGACGCCAGUCUGCGUGGAGCCAACCUUGAAAUACCACCCUUUAAUGUUUGAUGUUCUAACGUUGGCCCCUGACCGGGGUUGCGGACAGUGUCUGGUGGGUAGUUUGACUGGGGCGGUCUCCUCCCAAAGCGUAACGGAGGAGCACGAAGGUUAGCUAAUCCUGGUCGGACAUCAGGAGGUUAGUGCAAUGGCAUAAGCUAGCUUGACUGCGAGCGUGACGGCGCGAGCAGGUGCGAAAGCAGGUCAUAGUGAUCCGGUGGUUCUGAAUGGAAGGGCCAUCGCUCAACGGAUAAAAGGUACUCCGGGGAUAACAGGCUGAUACCGCCCAAGAGUUCAUAUCGACGGCGGUGUUUGGCACCUCGAUGUCGGCUCAUCACAUCCUGGGGCUGAAGUAGGUCCCAAGGGUAUGGCUGUUCGCCAUUUAAAGUGGUACGCGAGCUGGGUUUAGAACGUCGUGAGACAGUUCGGUCCCUAUCUGCCGUGGGCGCUGGAGAAUUGAGGGGGGCUGCUCCUAGUACGAGAGGACCGGAGUGGACGCAUCACUGGUGUUCGGGUUGUCAUGCCAAUGGCACUGCCCGGUAGCUAAAUGCGGAAGAGAUAAGUGCUGAAAGCAUCUAAGCACGAAACUUGCCCCGAGAUGAGUUCUCCCUGAGACUUUAAGUCUCCUGAAGGAACGUUGAAGACGACGACGUUGAUAGGCCGGGUGUGUAAGCGCAGCGAUGCGUUGAGCUAACCGGUACUAAUGAACCGUGAGGCUUAACCUU
rnacentral:rRNA from 1 species